UCUUCCAUAUGAUCCAAUCCAUCUUCUUUGAUUGAAGUUACACCUUUCUCUCAAUCGGCAUAAGUUUCCAUCAUGAAAUCGAUCAUUGAUAUCUUUGCAGAUUUGCAGAUUAUAUGCCCUAAUUUUGUGCCUUUAUUAUCCGAACUUGAUAGGUCUUCAAAUAUUUCACAUCAGCCGUGUGUUGUCGUGAUUCCAUAUACAUCGAUGGUACCAAAAAGAACAUGUUGAUUAUCAUUUUCCACCCGAGCGUGCUUGCAGACUCACUAAGCAGGUAAUUUUAUAUUUUGUAAACCAAUUAGCUAUACUAUUCGAGUUAUUUAUAAUAUACUAAUAGUCUUGAACAUUUUAGUAAUUUGGUGCAAUAGUGAGUUAGACACACUUAGAUCAGCUACAUUUACUAUUUUCAACCCGUUAUUUUUCACUAUAAAAGAUCUUUUCCAUCCAAAAAAACUUCACAAACCUUGACCGCACGGAGACUGCCGUUUAAGAAUAUCAACCAGCAAGAUCUUCCUCAGCCAUUAUCAUCUAUUGGUGGAUUGACUAGGUUGGAAACACUACUAAUGUUUUUGUAAGUUGGCCCAUUAUGCAUUUUUUUAAUGUUUUUUUGUUCAGAUAAUAAUAUUUGUUAGCUUUUGUUUUGAUUUGGAUUUCCAUUGUUAAUUCAUUCAAUGGAUGCUACCAGCAUAAUCUAAUCGAUGCUACCACAAUCAUUCAAUUAUUAAUUCAUUCGUCUUCACAAGCCCUAAAUAUGAGCCAUGCCUCAUCGAUGUAUUUGGUUUUGAUUUGGAUUUCCAUUGUUCUUCACAAGUAAUCUUAAGCCACGGUAAGUUAUAUGUAUCAGCUUCGUUUCUUUAUUUUCAUUAAACACCUUAAAUGCUUGUCUCCUAAAUUAUCGACAAACUGCUUGCUUCUCUAUCUCUCGAUAUCCAUUAAACAACAACAAGAAUCUCUCAUUUUUCUUCACUUUAUCUUGCCGGAGUCGUUUCGCCAGAGCUAUUUUGUCGUUCUCAGGUCAUCGUUCUUCAAACCGAACUGUUUCUUUUUCAUUUCAUUUAUGGCUAAUUGAUGUUCGAUUACUUUUAUCCUGUUGAUUUCUGGAUUGCAGGGCUCUUGAUUUGAGAAAUUAUCUUAACGAGCUUUUCGAUUGGUGUCGGAAAGAUUUUUAUCGCAUAGCUUGUGAUCGUGUUGUUGAGCUUCUUCAUUGUUACAUGUAUCUAUGAUGUUUAUAUCCUUAAUUGCGAGGAUGCUUAUGUUGAGGUAUUAUUCUUCACCGGAUUUUGUUGGAAGAUUGCCAUUCCUUGAAUCCUGAAAAAAAGUUAGCAACUGUGUGGUAAGCCAGCCUCAUUUGUAUUUAUGUCUUUGCCAUUGAUUUUAAUAGUGUUUAAAGAGAAGAACAAGUGCGUGUUUUUUCUCUUUUUAUGUUUUUAUGUCUCCUUUAAAGAGAAGAGAAUGUAUAUGAUGGUAAAAAGAUAAACAUAGAUGAAGAAGAUACAAUAUUGAUGAUGAUGAUAAUGGCUGAAGAUGAACGAUGGCGACAACAGUGGCUGAAUUAGGGUUCCGCUCAGAAUCUUUGAUAUUUCGGCCAGAAGCUAGGGUUUCGAUGGUAGGUUCCACCGUUCCAGCGACAUAGGUUUGCAUGUGUUUUAAAAGACAUCAACAUUUGGGUGAUGAACAUUGUAUUCGUUGAUUCCUCGGGAUAUGCUACCGAUAUAUUGGUUAUCAAAUCGCUGGACAUGAUGGUGCAGUUUCGGCUUCGUGAGUUUUGAUUCGGCAUCAGGAUGCAAGUGAUCGUGGGUGGCUUUAUUGUUAAUAAAGCUUAACUGAUUUGAGAUAAUGGAUAGACGUAAAAACAUUAAUUGCUCUUCCAAGAAUCUAAGUGAUGGCCGUAGCCAGAAGUUCUACAUGGGU
rnacentral:lncRNA from 1 species